rnacentral:lncRNA from 1 species
CAGCAUAUGGAGGUUCUCAGGCUAGGGGUCAAAUCAGAGCUACAGCUGCUGGCCUAAGCGCCGCAGCCACUGCAACAUCAGAUCUGAGCCUCAUCUGUGAUCUACACCGCAGCUCAUGGCACCACUAGUUCCUUAGUCCACUGAGUGAGGCCAAGGGUUGAACCCGCGUCCUCAUGGAUACUAGUCAGGUUCGUUACCGCUGAGCCACGACUGGAACUCGGACAUAUUGAAUUCUGUAUUUCUAACAUGAUACAGUACUUGACACAUAAUUCCUGAAUGAGCAAAUGAAUAAAUGAAUGAUUAAAUAAAUGAAAAUACAGGUGAAUAAAUAAGUUCAGAAAUGGAAAAAUAAAUAAAUAUGAAUGAAUGGACCAAUGAAUAAAUCAAAUGCCUAUUCUCUGUAUAAAUUUGUAUCUACAUAUCUACAUAUGGAUAUACAUGUACAGGUAUAUUAUGCACAUACACCUGCAUAAACUUCACAAAACGUGUUAUUCAUUCCAAAUUCUUGAGAAGGUACCAGUAGGGUCUGAGAUUGUUCUUGUGGGGAGAGUCAGGAAUCAGAACAGCCUGGUCCCCUGUUGGAGGCUGCAGGGGGACGUUACCUCCUGGGCAUUGGCCAUGAUGAUUUUAUUACUGGGACUCUCCCCAUUCAUGGUCCUACUUCCCAUUUUCGACCCCCAAACAUCUUGGCUCAUUGGCUUUCAGCCUCCCAGGAUGACCACUGAAUUUCAACAGGAAGAAUCCAGAAACAUGAGCCUGACCAUUAGAACCUGCACUCUGGCCCUGAUACCUGCUCUCCUUCCCCGGAGAAUGGGGCAAGAGUCUAGACCUGAAGUCUGCAGACUCUUCAGCUGAAAUGAGGCCCAAACAUACACCCAGAGUAUUGGGAUCCAGGGACGUGCACGGGGCACCCCGGGUACAGUAACUCUUGCUCCAGAUGCUCGCUCUGCCCCGCACUUGCUGCAUGAUUCGUGUGCCCUCUGGGAGCCUCGGUUUACUCUGUUGUUGAGUGGGGAUAACAACAUCUAUGAGGAAGGCCCACCUGAUAAGCACAGAAGAAAGAACUGUUUCGUUCCUGCCUGACAAAAAACUUUAAAACAGUAGCAGCGGAAGGAAGAAGUUACUCCUGGACAUGAGGCUCUGGGCACGGACCAGGGGAGGCUCCAGAAGGACAUGUAUUUCAUUGAAUCUACCAAUAGCCCCAUCCUUUUACCUUCAUGGUUCCUAGCUUUUCUCCUAAGACAGCCUGAGGCUCCCAGGAGCUGCUCUGCUGAACAAUUAAAUGAGUGACUGGAGAGUGUUAUGUGGAUCAAGACUAAAGACAAGGGUAUGGACACUUUGGCUCUUAUUUUGGGACAGAGCUUUUGUUCUUCCAUCUUUGCCAGCCAAAGGUUUGGGGUCUUGUAGUCUACAAAAAGGCUAAAGACAAAGGUAUGGACACCUUGGUUCUUAUUUUGGGACAGAGUUUAUUCUGCCAUCUUUGCCAACCAAAGGUCCAGAUGAGAAUGGUGGGCCCUCAGCAUGGCUGUCCUGUAUUGUGUCCUUUAGAAAGAGGCAGAGGAGAGAGCCAGCAGUUUCUGCACAGAAAACCCAGCCAUCAAACAAGUGUUGGGCUGGGGAAGCCACUCAAUCCUGUGGAGGGUCCUUUUUCAGAAUACGGUUGUCCAAGCCAGGAAGGAGAGCUAAAAAGAAAGAGGAUUUCAGUAAAAGCAGAGGGACCUUGGGGUCUCAUGGGUCUGGAUCCAUGACCCUGAGAAGAGGCACCUUCUUAAAUUUUGCACCUGGAUGACUACCUCACUUGCCUCACAAGAUCUUUGUCACCUCAUUUAUAAAGCGGGAUGUUGACCAUACCUAAUAAUCACAGUUAAUGUUAUUGAACAUUGUUAUGUUCCCUUCACCCAUGAAUGCAUUUAGCCUUCACAGCAAGCUUGCAAGCUGGGUUCAAUGAUUAUCCCCAUUUUACAAAUGGUCACACUGAGGCACAGUGCAAAUAAGCUGUAACUUGCCUGUGUUCUCAUAUCUAGCAGCUGGCCAAGCUGAGAUUUGAACCCUGGGAGCUUGGCCCCAGUGUCCAGUCUCAUUACCACCAUGCCAAAAUAGCUACAGUGCAGGGUGCAUGUGAGGGGGGGGCCCCAUGGGGUGACAUAGACAAGAAAUCAGUGCUGAAGAGAGAGAGAUUCAUUCAUAAAAUGAGUGGAGUCCUGUCACCCCACUCUUAGCUCCUCGACGUUCCUUGAUGCAUCCCUGGGCAAGUCCAAGUUGACAUACACCCCAAAGACCCAGCAUGGGCAACAGCAGCCUUGGGAUACACUUGCUCCAGCGGAGUCUGGAUCCAGGGUUUCCUGGGCACAGUCAAAACCUGGUUCUGGGUGUUUGGCUUCCCUCCCAGGGCUACGGACCUGACAUACAUCCUUAAUUCAGCCCCUGUGAGGCUGUCACAGGGUUCAUUCACAUGCAUAUUAGAUAAUGCCCGUUAGUGAUGCCCAUUAAUUAAGCAGAGCAAUUUGUUUAUAAUUAACUUGAGAAAUUUAUGGCUUUAGAAAACAAUUACAGGAGCUGAUAUAAACAUAUUAGGUAGCGAUAGCAAUGCCAAAUUUAAUUGCUUUCAAGAAGAACCACUGAUAUUAAUGCCAUGGUCAUCACUAGUCAUGUUUGACAGCAGCUUGUAAAUUCAUCCGUUUGUCUGUGAGCCAGCACCUCAGGCGAUUUGGAACAGGAAAUUUCAGCUCUUGGAAACUGCUUGUGGUACAGUGCUAAGCGAAAAAAUUAGGCUUGAAGAUAUAUAUAUGGUGUGUUCUCAAUUUGGUAAAAACAUGCUUUGUAUAUGUAUUUCCCCUUUAUGUGUAUAUAUACACACACGUAUAAAUAAUAUAUUUAUGUGAUAUAUGCAUUUUUGAAUAUAUAUAUACAAGUAUAAAUAAAUGUAUUUCUCUCCAGUGAAAAAAUACAUGAAAAUGAAAGAAAUACAUACGGAGCACAUAGAAAAGAAAGACGUCACUGUUGGUGAGUUUCCCUGGGUGAUGGGAUUACUGACUCUUUAUUUUUUCUUUAUGAUUUUUAGUAUUUUUCAAAACUUUUAUAGGAAGAACUUACUCUUUUGAUACCAAAAAAGUAAGGGUUAUUGAAAAGGUGGAAGUAGAAGAAAAAAGAUGAAAAAGGUAGACAUAUUGCCUUUUUCAAGGAAAUUACUUUAAAAAAAAAAAAAAAAGCAGACCUAUCUGCAAUAAUUGCAUGGGCUGCUUCCUUGGCAUUUUAAGAUUAUUUUGAUUUUCGUCUGAGAAAAUGACAAAAUAAACUCGCCGUGUUCACAAAUGUGAUCCUCAUCAUUGGGACAUUCCUGCUCUGGUUCUAUGACUGGGGAAGAAAGUGGCCGCCUUCAGCUUUUAAAAACAUCAGCCUGUGGAACUACUGGAAGAGGCUAUUGGCCCCAUUCCUACAUGGCAAGUGCCUGCGAAUUCAGAAUAAAACACAGCAACUGUUUUUUCUGGACAAGGAUGAAUAAAUGCCUUGCUGACAAGCCUGUGUACUUAGAAGACGGGUGGGGACCCAUCCUUGUCAAAUGAUGCAUCUUCCCCAAAUGUCACAAAUGAAGCAAAGAGCCAUUUGGCUAAAAAGCUGUGGAUGUCUUUUCAAAAAAAUGCAGUACCAGAAUGUCAGAGGGCUUGUCUGACCCCAACUGUUCCCUCCUGGUUGAGGACCCAGUGACCUGUGGGAUGGGGGUUCACCUACUAGCCAAAGACCAGUGCUUUUUUUUUUUUUUUUUUUUUUUUGUCUUUUUGCCUUUUCUAGGGCCGCUCCUGCGGCAUAUGGAGGUUCCCAGGCUAGGGGUCGAAUCGGAGCUGUAGCCACUGGCCUACGCCAAAGCCACAGCAAUGGGGGAUCCAAGUCGCAUCUGCAACCUACACCACAGCUCACAGCAACGCCGGAUCCUUAACCCACUGAGCAAGGCCAGGGAUCGAACCCGAAACCUCAUGGUUCCUAGUCGGAUUUGUUAACCACUGCGCCACAACGGGAACUCCUUUUUUUGUCUUUUUAGAGCCGCACCUGCGGUACAUGGAGGCUCCCAGGCUAGGGGUCAAAUCAGAGUUGUAGCUGCCAGCCGACACCACAGCCAUAGCAACUCGGGAUCCAAGCCCUGUCUGCAACCUACACCACACAGCUCACGGCAACGCCAGAUCCUUAACCCACUAAGCGAGGCCAGGGAUCGAACCCGAGUCCUCAUGGAUACUAGUCGGGUUUGUUAACCACUGAGCCAGGAUAGGACUCUGACACGGCCCUCGCCUUUCAUAUUGCAGCACAUUUAUAAUUACUCUUCAGCAUCUGCUUAAUAAAGACUUUUAAGCCCAUGACUGAUGCUCCUAAAAGUAUGGUCACGGGAA